GUCGAAUGACUUGGAAAAGUCAGUCAAAGAGGGUAAAAACCCCGUAGACGAAAUGUGGAAGACACCUAGGAGGAUCCUGAGUACGGCGGAACACGAGAAAUUCCGUCGGAAUCCGGGAGGACCAUCUCCCAAGGCUAAAUACUCCCUAGUGACCGAUAGUGAACCAGUACCGUGAGGGAAAGGUGAAAAGCACCCCGGAAGGGGAGUGAAAUAGAACCUGAAACCGUGUGCCUACAACAAGUCAAAGCCCGUUAAUGGGUGAUGGCGUGCCUUUUGUAGAAUGAACCGGCGAGUUACGAUUGCAUGCGAGGUUAAGUUGAAGAGACGGAGCCGCAGCGAAAGCGAGUCUGAAUAGGGCGUUUGAGUAUGUAGUCGUAGACCCGAAACCAUGUGAUCUACCCAUGUCCAGGUUGAAGGUGCGGUAAAACGCACUGGAGGACCGAACCCACGUACGUUGAAAAGUGCGGGGAUGAGGUGUGGGUAGCGGAGAAAUUCCAAACGAACUUGGAGAUAGCUGGUUCUCUCCGAAAUAGCUUUAGGGCUAGCCUCGGAAUUGAGAAUGAUGGAGGUAGAGCACUGUUUGGACUAGGGGCCCAUCUCGGGUUACCGAAUUCAGAUAAACUCCGAAUGCCAUUCAUUCAUAUCCGGGAGUCAGACUGUGAGUGAUAAGAUCCAUAGUCGAAAGGGAAACAGCCCAGACCACCAGCUAAGGUCCCAAAAUAUAUGUUAAGUGGAAAAGGAUGUGGGGUUGCACAGACAACUAGGAUGUUGGCUUAGAAGCAGCCACCAUUUAAAGAGUGCGUAAUAGCUCACUAGUCGAGUGACCCUGCGCCGAAAAUGUACCGGGGCUAAACAUAUUACCGAAGCUGUGGAGUACACCUUUAGGUGUAUUGGUAGGAGAGCGUUCUAAGGGCGU
rnacentral:rRNA from 1 species